CCAGACUCCUACGGGAGGCAGCAGUGGGGGAUAUUGCACAAUGGGGGAAACCCUGAUGCAGCGACGCCGCGUGGGUGAAGAAGCGCCUCGGCGCGUAAAGCCCUGUCGGCAGGGAAGAAAAUGACGGUACCUGAAGAAGAAGCCCCGGCUAACUACGUGCCAGCAGCCGCGGUAAUACGUAGGGGGCAAGCGUUAUCCGGAUUUACUGGGUGUAAAGGGAGCGUAGACGGUGAUGCAAGUCAGAAGUGAAAGCCCGCGGCUCAACUGCGGGACUGCUUUUGAAACUGUAUAACUAGAGUGCAGGAGAGGUAAGCGGAAUUCCUAGUGUAGCGGUGAAAUGCGUAGAUAUUAGGAGGAACACCAGUGGCGAAGGCGGAUGACUGGACGGCAACUGACGGUGAGGCGCGAAAGCGUGGGGAGCAAACAGGAUUAGAUACCCUUGUA
rnacentral:rRNA from 1 species